UAACGAAUCUUCCCCAAUGCACGAAAGUGUGAGGGAGCGACGCUGCGUGGAGGAUGAAGUCCUUCGGGAUGUAAACUCCUGUCGGGAGCUACCAAGUUCUGAGGAGCUCCAAAGGAAGAGGCGGCUAACUCUGUGCCAGCAGCCGCGGUAAGACAGAGGCCUCGAGCGUUAGGCGGAAUCACUGGGCUUAAAGCGUGUGUAGGUGGAUUCUUAAGUGCUUUGUGAAAUCCCACGGCUUAACCGUGGAACUGCUUGGCAUACUGGGAAUCUUGAGCUAUCUAGGGGCAACUGGAACAGACGGUGGAGCGGUGAAAUGCGUAGAUAUCGUCUGGAACGCCAAUGGUGAAGACAGGUUGCUGGGGAUAUGCUGACACUGAGACACGAAAGCCAGGGGAGCAAACGGG
rnacentral:rRNA from 1 species